ACGGAAGGCAGCAGUGGGGAAUAUUGCACAAUGGGCGAAAGCCUGAUGCAGCGACGCCGCGUGAGUGAAGAAGUAUCUCGGUAUGUAAAGCUCUAUCAGCAGGGAAGAAAAUGACGGUACCUGACUAAGAAGCCCCGGCUAACUACGUGCCAGCAGCCGCGGUAAUACGUAGGGGGCAAGCGUUAUCCGGAUUUACUGGGUGUAAAGGGAGCGUAGACGGUUUGGCAAGUCUGAAGUGAAAUGCGGGGGCUCAACUCCUGAACUGCUUUGGAAACUGUCGAACUAGAGUGCAGGAGAGGUAAGUGGAAUUCCUAGUGUAGCGGUGAAAUGCGUAGAUGUUAGGAGGAACACCAGUGGCGAAGGCGGCUUACUGGACUGUAACUGACGUUGAGGCUCGAAAGCGUGGGGAGCAAACAGGAUUAGAUACCCUGGUA
rnacentral:rRNA from 1 species